rnacentral:piRNA from 1 species
CGGACCGGGGCGGCCCUUGUAUGGCA